UACGGGGGGAGCAAGCGUUGUUCGGAUUUACUGGGCGUAAAGGGCGCGUAGGCGGCCUCCGCAAGUCAAUUGUGAAAUCUCCGGGCUUAACUCGGAAAGGUCAACUGAUACUGCGGGGCUAGAGUGCGGAAGGGGCAACUGGAAUUCUUGGUGUAGCGGUGAAAUGCGUAGAUAUCUGGAGGAACACCGGUGGCGAAGGCGGCAUCCUGGACCGGUAUUGACGCUGAGGCGCGAAAGCCAGGGGAGCAAACGGG
rnacentral:rRNA from 1 species